rnacentral:tRNA from 1 species
GCCGAGGUGGCGUAAUUGGUAGCCGCGCACGUUUCAGAAGCGUGUCCUUAACCGGAUGGAGGUUCGAGUCCUCUCCUCGGCA